UCUCUUCCUGCUUCUAUGAAAUCUGAAUGUGUAUUUUCCCUAGAGGACUCUGGCAAAGUCUCUUAGCAGACUCAGAUGAUCCCAUUUCUAUUAUCUUGCCCUCAUCUGGUUAUGAAGAACCUUGCACAACCCAAAGCCUCCAUUCCUGGAUGCAGUCAGUGCUGUCACUGAAAUUGCUUAAAUAUAGUGGAGUGGAGAGCCAUUGGCACCCUUUGAAGCCAUGGUAUACUCUGUCACGAAUCCAAAGAGCAUUCUGCCUGUCAUAAAGGAAGCGCUCGAGAGGAGUAAGCAAUGUCAUGAAACCAAGAGGAUGCAAGGGAUUUAAUUAUCCUCCCAGUGAACUGUGUAAUCUUUCAGCUUUCUUCCAAAUUUAACCAAUGACUCUUGAAAACAGAGUAUUAAGUGACUAGUGUCAGUGCUGGGCUCCUGUGUGCCAUCAUUGGGUUAACAGCAGGGAAGUUGGCUAUAUUGUGAUACUCUCAAAUGCUGUUUACACAGUGUUUUAUUCUUGCAGAGAAUGUCUUGUAUGGAAUGUCAAGGCACUCUUAGAAAAAGGUGGAGAAGUUCUGACAGAGGGAUGUAGGUAUAGCCUUAGAACUGCAUGACUACAUGUACAGUGUUUGUCUUUUGGGCUAUAAAUAUAGGAAGCAUUUUCCAUGUUUCAUAAAUUCACAUUUGGUCUCAUUUACCUUCACAACUUGAAAGUGAACCUGCUAUGGAAGCACUGACUUCCAUGCACAGGCAAACUUGUCCAAAGUCAUUCAGCAUCCUAGAUCCAUGCAGUUAUAAAGUGUCAUGGUUAUCCAGUUCAGCUCCCCAUUGGCUUUGUGAAUCCUUGACAGUGUUCUCUUUCAGCUUCACUUCAAAGCUUUCCUGCCAUGAGGAAAGCUUUUAGGCAGCAUCAGUCUUUCUAGGAAAAACUUUGUAAGUAGACCAAGGUCAUUCUUCACCCACUAGAGUUACAGUUGGAGACGAUACUUGGCCCAGUCCUGUUACCUGUUCCCAUUAGCCAGGCUUAACUUCUGUGAUCCAAGAAACUUUCUUUUCAACCAAGAUGCUUUUUAAGUAUAGCAUUAGUUUACAUCCCCAAUGCAUAGGAGAAGCCCUAAAACUUUACUAGCCUCUGCUUCAGAAAUCUUUCCAUGGACACUGGGGAGCUUCUGUGUACUCAAAUAGGGACCAUCAAAUAGCUUGAUUACCACCCUCCCAUAUCUGUCAAGCCCCUGAUAUGCACAGAACCUUGUGCAAAAUACUGCAAGGGCCACACAAAAAUGACACAUACGGGCCAGGCACAGUGGCUUAUGCCUGUAAUCCCAGCACUUUGGAAGGCCAAGCCAGGUGGAUCACAAGCUCAGGACUUCAAGACCAGCCUGGCCAAGAUGAUGAAACCCCAUCUCUACUAAAAAUACAAAAAUUAGCUGGGCAUGGUGGCGGGCACCUGUAAUCCCAGCUACUUGGAGGCUGAGGUAGAGAAUCGCCUGAACCGAGGAAGCGGGGUUUACAGUGAGCCAAGAUCAUGCCACUGCACUCUAGCCUGGCAACAGAACGAGAUUCCAUCUCAAAUAAAUGACACAUAAGGAUGAUAGUUAAUAGGGCAGGAGCGCUUGAUGCCUGCCACACUCUUGUCGGUCAAUUUACAGAAAUAAACACAUGUAAUCCAAACAGAGUUACCCUCUGAAGUAGAUGCUAUAAAUAUAAAUGUUCCCAUUUCACAGAUGAAAAAAACAAAAGCAGAGAGAAGUUGUAAAGCAGCUUGAGCUUAUCUGCUGGAAGGAGCAGAUGGUUUGCACCCAGGCAGUGUAGCUCUGGAGCCUGCACUUCCCAAUAGCACAGCACACUGCUCUACAUGUGAAGUCUCCAGUUGCCAGUAACUUAGAGUCUAGUGUUCACAGAGGGAAACAAUGGCAAUAUCAGGGGAAAAUCAAAGUGCUCAACUUAAGGAACAGACUUAAGGAACAUGGCAGAAGUUCUGAAGGAGGGAUGGCUUUUCUCCAGGGUGGACAGGAAUGGCAUCAAAGAAUUGAGGGUUAUCUGUGCAAGGCUUUGAUAGAUGGGUGGCGAUUCAGUAUAUGGUCAGGGGUGCAGGACAGCCUAGGCCAAAUGAUGAGGUGUGUAAACACAAGGACAGGAGAUCUCAAGGUUUGUGAGGUGUACAAGUGAACCAGCAGGCCGAAGCCUGGGAUAAUGUGAGAAUAAAGUGUGCAAGAUGGCUGAGAUCGGGUAGUGAAGGGGCUGAACCAGGAUGAGGAUGCAGAGGGGCUCAUCCGCCAUCUGCGCUUUGCAGAGAAGGAAAUGAAAAAGCAGUUGUUGAGUGAGUUACCAAGGGCCAAACUGAUAAGCUAACAUAGAACCAGACUGAGAGAAGAAAUUGGACUGCCUGACAUCUGCUAUUGUAUUCAAUUCGGCAACUUAAAAUAAUUUUCUUCACGCUGUGCACCAGUCAUGAAAGUAGUUUAAAGUGAAUUAAUUGAACAUUUAACAGUCUGCCAGGUACAUUUUUGUUAUUUUUUAAACAAGUGCCACAGAAAUUCUCCUAUAGGAGGUCAGUCAUUAAAUCAAGAGAAAUUAGUUGUGAGUAAACCGACCUAGUAAGCCACCUUCAGCAGUUCAGGUAGCACUCGCUAUAGCUGGAUGGAUCCACCAGGUGGCAGGCUUCCCAAAUCUCACCUAUCAUUUUUCCAAUCAUUUACCAUUUUUGUAACCAUUAAUACUUCCAACCUAAUUAUUGUACUCUGCAUCCUUUGUGUUUGUAUUUCCCCUUAGAGAAAUUGUCUUUGGUGUAUGCCUGUAAGUUAAAUGAACUGUCCUCUGGAAUAGCCAUUUGUAGAGACAAGAAACCGAACUGGUUUUUGUCUUUAUGGGGGAAGGAGCAUUUGUACAGUCUAGUGAUGUGCUGUCACUCAGCAAGCCCUGGUCUUCACCUUUUUCUGAUGAUAAAUAUGUGCAGGAUUUAUAUGUGUCUUAUACAAUUUUAUGUGUUUAUAGCUUCUUCAUUUUAUCUUGACAGUCUUAUACUUUGACCAUGCCACCUGUCAAUCAUGUGCCUGGUUCCCUCAUCACCACUUACUAAGUACAAGCUAUACACUGUGCCAGGCUCAGGAGAGGUGGAGAGGACUGGGGGAGAGGGGUGUUCCCUGCCCACACUGUGCCAGGCUCAGGAGAGGUGGAGAGGACUGUGGGGGAGGGGCAUUCCCUGCCCACAGGGAGCAGGAUUUGGCAGGAGGAGGAUUGGGGGUGAGCAGCAAGAGAACCAGCAUGGGCUCUUCCACUGGACUCUCAGUGGCUUUGGGAAACAAGAACCUCAGGGUCUCAGAAUCCGUUUUCUUCAUCUGUAAAGGAAGGGUAACAAACUCUUUUAGGCCAUGAGGGUAAAACAAACAACCCUUAUGACUUGUUUAUGAAAAUAGGCUUAGAGAAUAUGUAUGAAAAUGGCUUAAAAGUAAAUAUAAACUUUUAAAAUGCCAAGUAUUGUUAGUCUCCUAUGGAUAAAGAUAUAGAAGUCAGUGCUGGAUUGUGUUAGAAAAGAGUGGAACUGAUUCCGGCUCAAGUGGCACACGUGAUAGAAUAGCCCAGUGAUUAUUAUGGUUCUGCAUGUCCACUCUCUGCACAUGGAAGCAGACUGAAAGAACGUCAGUGACAGAGGAGCUCCACCCAUGCUUGUUGCCCCUUUCCUUCACCAUAGGAAAAACUAAAAUUUCAGCAUGGCCUCAACUUGUGAAGAGAAGACCCCACUCCAAAAAAACCUGCAAUGAUAGAUCUUACAGACUUAUAAAAUGAUUUUCUCAUUAAAGAACAAAUAGAAUGUAAUCUCUGCUAUCAGAUAAAAGUUUAUUUUGGCACUUGCAUAAAGAAUGUAUAAUUCAUUAUUUUAUGAUAGAAAACAAAAUAAACUUUUUUCUCUUGUCGAAGUUAAACCCCCCCUUUCCCUAAAAUAUUUUCUGCAAAUAUGACAUUAGAUAUGAAAGUAUAUGUUCUUAAACAGAACAGAAUUCCAAGUCAGCCUUGGUGGUGUGCUCCUGUAAUCCCAGCUACUCAGAGGCUGAGGCAAGAGGAUUGCCUAAGCCCAGGAGUUUGAGGCUGUGGUGAGCAGUGAUCACACCACUGCACUCCAGCCUGGGCAACCAAACAAGACCCCAUCUCAAAAAACAAACUUUUUUUAAUUAAAAAAAAUUAAAGAACUCUAAAACUAAUAAUAAAACACUAAGACCUUCCAAUAUUAAACUGGAUGUAAAACUGAAUAAAUCAUUUCUUAAA